rnacentral:rRNA from 1 species
AGAGUUUGAUCCUGGCUCAGGAUGAAUGCUGGCUGUAUGGAUAAGGCAUGCAAGUCGAACGGACCGCAAGGUCAGUGGCAGACGAGGUAGUAACACGUACGAACGUACCUGUAGUCUGGGAUAGCUCGUCGAAAGACGGGGUAAUACCGGAUGGUCUCGCAAGAGUAAAGUUUUUCGCUACAGGAGCGGCGUGCGUAGUA